UGCAGGCUCAUCUGCGUCGGCCUCCGUACUGCUCUGUGCCGGGCCUAGAGGAGAAGGAGGAGGAGCCACUUGCCGCGCAUGCCAGAGGCUAGAGUCAUCUACUGCGCAUGCUGGAGGUGGAGCCUACGGUGGCUCGCCUUGCUGCUGCGGUUGGUGGCCGCGAGAGAGACUACAGCGCAGCCAGAAGGGUGAAAAGAUGGCAGAAUAGGCUUAUCUGACUUUGCCCGCCCAGUUGCUCUGUGCCAGGAGGAGGAGCCACUUAUUCCAUGCUGGAGGUUGGAGCUGGAGGCACCGCAGUUCACCUUGCUGUGGUUGGUCGUGGCGACGGAGACUGCAAAGCACCAGAGCGAUGACAAGGAAGACAGAGGGUUGAGGCUUGCGUUCACCUCCUUCUUGUGAGAGCUGCAGUGUGUUGGUGAAGGGAGGGCCCAGCAGCUGUGCUGUGAACCUAGGAGUGUGCUUCCUGCUUUGGGAAAACAGAAGAAGUGUAGAUUCUUCCCUUUUAUUCACCACUUUGAUAAUGGACGAACUGGUGCUCGGCCAUACUCCAGGGUGAACAGAACAACAUAGAGCCAGAGUGAGCUCCAGCAUGUGAGGACAUCUGACAUGCGGGAUCCACUGCGGUUAUAUUGAAUCGGCGAUCGUGAUGUGCUACAAAACAUAAACAUUUGCCCGCUGAGCACCUCCUCAGGGGGCACCUCAUUUUCUUUCAUUGCUCCGGAGGCUUCAGUGGCUCCUGAUUCUCAGAGGGUGAGAGGUCCUGUCUUGUCAUGUCCCUUUCCUGCCCCAGGUCUGGGAUCCCCCACUGAUCCCACUUCCGUUAGUAGGAGGAGGUAUUUAAGGACCAUACUCUGGAGACUCUCUCAUGUCCCCCGUUCGAAUAAGGAAAUGGUAGCCAUCACCCCACCUGACCCACCCAAUGUAAAACCAGGUUGAGGGGUCCAGGGAUCAAGGAUGGAGCCUCCGUUUUGUUGAGGGGGACCAGCCGGGCCUCACUGGCCAGGGCCAUCCCAACUGGGACAAGACCUGGGAAGAUGGGGCUGAAACUCCUGGAGUCAGGGCUAGGUUAAUGGGAAGGUUCCCAGGACACUGCACUCUAGGGUAACCAGCUUCUCCCUGGAGGGAGAGGGUACUCUCUGCAUCACCCCAUGGUAUCACCAAGCAAUCAGUGUUGAGUCAACUCCCCCAGGGAGACCACGUAUCCCUGUCCAUGAAAAUUCCUCCUAGUGGCAUAAAUGCCCUCUGAUAAACUCAUCCCCAUGACUGCAUGAUGGUUGGUGGGAAAACCAAACCCAAGACGCUGAUGUCCUCCAGGGAUCCUGCUCCUGGUCACAGGAUGUCACUUGUCCCCUUACCUGUGGGGGCGGGGGUGAAGGGUGUGUGGACUCCAUAAUGGGCAGAUGCCACCGGGGGAGUGGCCAGAGCUUCCUUCCUCACAGCUGCAGUGGGGGCUGGGGGUAGGGGCAUCCCAGGGAGGGGUUUUUGUAUGAGCCUGUGUCACAAUGUGGUGCUGGGUCUGCUGGCGGGCCUCCUGAUGGUUCAUGCCUGUGCCCAUGGCAACAGGUGGGGCAGAACCAUUCCCAGGCUCCCAGGUGCUUGCCUGGAAGUGCAGCGGUGGUGAGUGGGGCAAGUCUUCCCUCAAGCCCUGGGACAGCAUCUGGGUGGGCUGGUUCCCAGACACAAUGAAGGUACAUGCAAUUGUGUGUCAGCCUUGCUGCUGGGGGUGGGAUAUGGGGCAGCAGCCACAGGCAGGUGGCUCUCAGGCUCAUGCACUUGGGUUUCCUUUGUCAUGGAGCCGGCCUCCUUGGUGCACUGCAUUGCCCAUUCCCUGGGGUGUAGGACUCUUGUGUGGGCUAGAGUGCUGCAGACCGUUCACGCAGCUGGUCUAGCCGGCAUCAUGCUGCUGUAGCCCCCCAAGUGGAUAAGGGGAGAUGUGAGGGGGGCUCUAGGGAUGUGGAGAUGCAGGGCUGUUGGGCCCCAGGGCAAGAGGCAAUCCUCAUGGGGGCUGGGCUCUCAAAAUGGCAUGUGCUGGAGCUGCUUGGAUCUAAAGUGUGUGUGUGGUACCAGCAUGACUCCCUCUCUGGAACAAUGCCAUCGUGUGGACAAGUACGGGCAGCAUAAUCCUAUGCUGUCUCAGGGCCCACGAGGGUUGAGGGGCUCUCUCAUGGCCAGGGUUGCAGAAAUCUGUGGUGGGAAUGUGGACCCCUGGGAAUCUCUCACUCACCUUUUCCCCUGCACUGGGGAGCUCAUCUGGUCUUGCUUUUCUCUCCUUCUGUACCUCGGAUGGUUCCUGUCACUUCCCCACUGAAUUCCACUGUUCUCUCUUAGAUGCUCUAUUUGAUGUGUGAUUAUCUGUUUUGCUCCUUCUUUGUGGAGGAGACGAAUAUUGGGCAUCUCUAGUCAGUCACCUAGAAGCUCUCCUCCAAGUGUCAUUUUUUUUUUUGAGUUUUAAAGUUGGGCUGUUGGUCUUUUUAUUCUGGAUACAACUCCUUUGUCAGACGUGUGCGUACUCUAAGUAUUUUCAGUUAUUUUGUGGGUUGUUUGGUCAUUUCCUUUAAGGUGACUUUUAUUAGCUAGAAGUUUUCAAUUUUGAUGUAGUCCAAUAUAUUGCUUUUUUCUCCUAUGAUUGGUAAUUUUUGUGUCCCCUGUAUGAAGACAUUGUCUAUUCCAAGGAGGUUUUAUAUAUAUAUAUAUAUAUAUAUAUAUACACACACACACAUACACACACACUAUAUAUACACACACACUAUAUAUAUGUAUGUGUAUAUAUGUAUACAUAUGUAUGUGUGUAUAUAUGUACACAUAUAUAUAGAUGUAUACAUCUAUAUAUGUAUACAUAUAUGUCGAUAUAUAUGUAUACAUUGGGCUUGUCUCUUUCUCAUUUAUUCAUGGGAGCUCUUUUUUUCGUGUUUUGUAAUAUCUUUUGGUCUCCACAUUUUCAAUUUCAUUUGCACUGCCUUUUGAUAUACAAAAUGUGUUUAUUAUUUUUAGGUUUCCUGUUUUAUUUAAGAAUGUUCCUCACCUUAAACCACUUGAUAGAAAAAUAGGAAAAGGUUAUAAAUAGGCAGCUAAUUGAAGUUAAAAUAACUGAUUAGUUAGCACUCCUGUGAGAUUUUUCACCAAGGGAAUUAGCAAUAUAUAUAUAUAUUUUUUGAAAAAGCAACAACUUUUGUUGCUACUGAGCCUACAGGGGAAACAGUCCUCCUGCUUGUUCCCUGUUCAUAGGAAUGUGAAUUGCUUCAACUUUUUGGAAAGUAACUAAUCAGUAUCUAUAAAAAUUGUAAGUAAACAUAGCUGUGGCUAAGUUAUACCACUACAGGAUUCUAUCUUGUAGAAAUGAAACCAUACAGUGUAAAAGAUGAUCGCUACGACACUAUUUGUGGUGGCAAAGAGUACUUAACUUGAAUGUCCAUCUAAAGGGGAGUUGUUGGCUGGAUGCAGUGGCUCAUGCCUGUAAUCCCAGCGCUUUGGGAGGCUGAGGUGGGUAACUUGAAGUCAGGAGUUCAAGAGCAGCCUGACAUGGCAAGAUCCCAUCUCUGAAAAAAAUAGGGUGUGGUGGCAUGUACCUGUAGUCCCAGAUACUUGGAAGGCAGAGGCAGGAGGAUUUCUUUGGCCCAGAAGUUUUUCUUUUUCUUUUAAUUUCUGGCCUUACUGAAUCACUGGGCCCAGGAAUUGGAGGCUGCAGCAAACCAUGAUAGUGCCACUGCAUUCCAGCUUCAGUGACAGAGCAAAAACUUGUCUUAAAAAAAAAAAGAAAGAAAGAAAAGAAAAAGCGGGAAUUGCUAAGGAAAUAAAAUACAUUCAGUAUUAUAAAUUAGGCAGAAAUUAAAAUAAAUACAUUUGAUCUACAUUAGUUAGUCUUAGUAAUGUCCACAAUGCAGUAUAAACAGAAUAAAGUAAAUUGCAAUAUAAUGUAGGAUUUCAGUAUGUCAUUUCGAACAAAACAAGGACAACAAAACCCUAAAAAGACAAUUGAAAGUAACUCACAAAACCCAGAAGUCAUAAGAAAAAAAGAAACAAUUUGACUAAAUAUAAAUUAAAGCUUCUGUACAAUAAAAGACAACAUAAAGUUACAAGGCAAGACAUAGACUUUAGGAAAAAAUACUUGCUAUUCAUAUGCAAAUAAUAAAUAUACAGAAUAUGUAAAGAAUAUCUGUAAAUGAAUUAGAGAAUUGGUACAGGAUAUCAAGUAAUUCACAGAAAAAAUAUGAAUAGCUAAUAAAUACAUGCGAAUACAUACAAUCUCACUAGUAAGUGGAGAAAUACCAAUUUAAAAAAUGAAAUUAUUUUUCAAUCAUCAAAUUGACAAAAAUUCACUACCAUUGGUAAUAUACCCUGUAGUCAAGCAUGUGAGUAAAUAAAAACUCUCAUACACCGAUGAGAAUAUAAAUUGGCAAAUCCUUUGUGGAAAAUAAUUUUUAAUCAAAAUAUUAAUGCUUGUACACUUUGCUCCAGUAUUCCAUUUCUAGGAAAAUAAAGAAAAUAAAACUAGCAAAUAUGUCCAAAGAUGAAUAUACAGGUAUGUCUAUUUGAGUAUUGUAGAUAAUAGCAAAUAAUUGAAACCAACAUGAAUGUUCCUCAGUAGAAAAGUGGCCAAAUUAUAGUGAACUAUCCUAUGGAACAAUAGUGCAGCUAUAAGAAGAAGGAGGGAGAUCUAUUUGUACAGAUAGGCAAAGAUCUCCAGCAUAUAUUUUAUGUGAAAAAGCCAGUCACAAAAUAACACAUAAAGGAAGAUUGCAUUUUGUAAAUGUAUGUGUAUGUUUACAUAUGUAUAUAAAUUAAUAGAAAAACUACUUACUAGAACAUAUGCUUUAGCCUGUCUACUUCUUUGGGAAGUUAGUAACAGUAGAUGAGAGGAUUGGGUUGUCAGUGAAGAGUAUUAUAUUUAAUUCUACAGACCCAAGGGCAUUGUUUGAAUUUUUAUAACAAUAUGAUGGAUAUGUUUCUUUAAUUUUUAUUAUUUUUACCCAGGAAGAGACAGUCUUCAGCAUGUGCUGAAAGUGCUCUCUCUUCCAUGUUUCUUUUUUGAGAUGGAGUCUUACUCUGUCACCCAGGCUGGAGUGCAGUGGUGUGGUCUCGGCUCAUUGCAACCUCCGCCUCCCAGGUUCAAACGAUUCUCCUGCCUCAGCCUCCUGAGUAGCUGGGACUACAGGCGCCUGCUACCACGCCCAACUAAUUUUUUGUAUUUUUAGUAGAGACAGGGUUUCACUAUGUUGGCCAGGCUGGUCUCGAACUCCUGACCUCGUCAUCUGCCCACCUCAUCCUCCCAAAGUGCUGGGAUUACAGGUGCGAGCCACUGCGCCUGGCCCUCUUCCAUGUUUCUUACAUAAUUUAUUAAAACAUAUUUUAGUUUAUUGACUUGCUUACAAAAAGGUGGUUUUAAACCUCUCUACAAUUCUACAUAGAGAUAAUUGUCACUCACUGUGUUAAAACAGAAAUAAAGACAGAGAAAUAUGUAUAUUCAAGGAUGCCAAUAAAUGUUAAUAUCUAAAAUUAGAUUGUGAUAAUUAUUGCAAAACUCUGUGAAGAUAUUAAAAUACACUGAAUUAUAUGCUUUAGAUACAUUUUAUAAUAUGUGAAUUAUAUUUUAAUGAAGCAGUUAAAAAUCAAUGGUUUGAUGUUUUAGUAUUCAGUGACAAAUGGCUUUAAGAUGUAAGCAGUAAUUUCCAGUAUAUUUAAAAGAUAUUUACAAAGGAUAUUUCUAGUUCACCCCCCUGUCAACUAUUAGAAAACAUUUUUAUUUUUUAAAUCCUUGAAAUAACUGAGCGAAGGUCGCCUCAUAGGAGAAGUCACUGUUGUGUAGAUGAGGAGGUUACUAGGUGAGGCAGAGUUGGAAGAGGCAUUCUUUUCAAAUGGAAAUCUCUGGGAACUUCAGAAAGCAAGUAUGAGGUAGGGCAAUUUGCCUGGUGUAUUAGUCUGUUCUCAUGCUGCUAAUAAAGACAUACCGGAGACUGGGUAAUUUAUAAAGGAGAGAGGUUUAAUGGACCCACAGUUCAGCAUGACUGAGGAGGCCUCAGGAAGCUUACAGUCAUGGUGGAAGGGGAAGUAAACAUGUCCUUCUUCACAAGGCGGCGAGAGAAAGAAGUGCAAAGCGAAGUGGGGGGAAGCCCCUUAUAAAACCAUCAGAUCUCAUGAGAACUCACGAUCACAACAGCAGCAGCAUGGGGAUAACCGCCCUCACAAUUCAAUUACCUCCCACCAGGUCCUUCCCACAACACGUGGAGAUUAUGGGAACUACAAUCCAUGAUGAGAGCUGGGUGGGGACACAGCCAAACCCUAUCACCUGGUCAUUUUCUUUUUAAGGCUUCACAUAUAAGUGAGAUCCUAUAGCAUUUGUCUUUCUGUGUCUGGCUUAUUUCACUUAGCGUAAUGUUCUGCAGGUUCAUUCACAUUGUUGCAAGUGGCAGGAUUUCCUUCAUUUUUAUGUCUGAAUCAUAUUCCAUUAUGUAUAUAUACAACAUUCUCAUCAUUCACCCAUCACAGCACACUUAAAUUGUUUCUGUAUCUUAGCUAUUGUGAAUAGUGCUGCAAUGAAAAGUUGAACUCAUAGAAGCAGAGAGUAGAUGAUGGUUGCCUGGGGCGAAGGGGUAGGUAACUGGGGACGUAUUAGAGUACAAACCUUCACUCAUAAGAUGAAUAUAUUCUGAGGGUGCAAAGGAUAGCAUGGUGACUGUAGCUAAUAAUACUGUAUUGUGUGCUUGAAAUUUACCAAGAGUCUAUCAGUUGUUCUCACCGCACACACAGAAAAGGUAAACAUGUGAGGUGAUAGAUGUGUUAGUUAACUUGAUUGUGGUUAUUGUUUCAGAAUGUAUAGUAUAUCAAAUCAUCACGUUGUACAUCCUAAAUAUAAACAAUUUUCAUUUGUUUACUAUACCUCAAUAAAGCUGGAAAAAUAGAAUUUAGACCUGUGUGUCUUGUUUACACACGUAGAGGUCACUUCACAGUUUUAUAAAUUAUCAACUCUUAGUGACACAAAGGAACAACAAAAGCAAAAUAUCCAGUCUGUAGUCAUCUCAUUGGAUAAAAUUACCAACUGCUCAUUUUUUUUUUUUUUUUUUUUUGCCACACAACA